GCUGUAGCCAAGUGAGAGUUAACAGAUGCAGGAAGUGCACACAGAUGGGCGUUGCGUAACUGCCCAUCUCCCUCCCCGGACUGUGUACACAGGGCGUUUGUCUUCCCCAUUUCUCUAUCUUCCAUGCCUAGCACAGUACUGGGCCACAUUUUAGGUGCUCAAUAAAUGUUUGCUGAAUGAAUGCAAAGGCUGCAUGGAGGAAGCAGCGUCUGACCUGGGGCUUUGACUCUGGAGAGGCUACUGACAGGUGAAGAUGUGGUGGCAGGUAGAGGGGACCACACCCUCAAGAGGACGAGUGACAAGGCCAUCUCAGAAGGAUCGUCCUGGCUGCUAUGGGGGAAUGGUGAUUCUGGGCAGUGUGCAAGAAUUUCGGUCGCUCCACACCCUUGCCAACGCUCAGCCUUUCUCUUUUCUAAACAAGAGUUUCCACUAUGAGACUCCUCUUUUCCUCCAGUGUUGGAUAUUGGGUGCGCCUGGCAUGAUAGAUCCCUCAGUCCAGAGGCAGCAAGACAGAAGUCACAUCUAGUGCUCUCAUCCAAAACCAUGACGUGUGUGCUGUGUGUCGAUGCUACCAAAAUAUGUGUCUCCAGCCCAGACCUCUCUUCGGAGCCCCAGUCUCAUAUACAACGGCCUAUUGACCCUCUCAAUCCAACCAUUGCCCAGGCUUUUCAAACUUGCCUUCUUAGCCAAACUUGAUCUUUCCCCUCAAUCUGAGACUUCUGCAGGCUUUACCACCUUAGUCAAGGACUCUUUCAUUCCUGCAUACCCGAGGCAAAGAUGGCGGUGUCAUCGCUGAUGCCUCAACAACCACCCACAUCCCAUCUGAGAUUCUUUGCAUCUCCACCUCCCCAAGCCACGACCUUGCCAGGGUCACAGGUUUGCAUCAGGAAACCUUCAGCAGCCUUCUAACUGGUCUCCCCACAAUCCCUGGAAAGUGUUUUCUGAGCCAUGAAGCCAGGGUGGCCUUUUAGAAACCCAGACCUGGUAUGAUUCCCAUGAUGCAAAUGGCUCUCCUUACUCUCAAGAUAAAAUCCAAAUUCAUUAGGUAGCACUAUCUGUUCUAUUUGCUCAUUCCUCACCCUCACUGGCUCCUUCCCUCCUCCACAACAUCUGGGACAAGUGGUUCUUUCUGCCUAGAACAUUGCCCCUCUCAGUCUUGCCCUGAACAACUCUCAACUAUCCUUGGUUUUUCAGCCUAAAUGCCAGCUUCCCAAGGAGAGCCCACCCUCACUCUUCACUCUACAUUUGUUGCUGUUGCUUAGUUGCUGCUUUGUGUCCAAUCACAACCCUAUGGACUGCAGCCCACCGGGCUCCUCUGUCCAUGGGAUUUCCCAGGCAAGAAUACCUAAGCUGGUUGCCAUUUCCUCCUCCAAGGGAUCUUCCUGACCCAGGGAUUAAAUCUCUUGCAUCUUCUGCAUCUGCAGGAAGAUUCUUUACCACUGAGCCACCUGAGAAGCCCUCACCCUACAAUAAGUCUCCAUUAAUUUUUCAUAACACUCUUCAUCCCCCCUCAGCACUUCCCAUCAUGCAUAAUCAUAUAUUGAUUUGAUUAAAAUUAUUAACAGUGA